GUUCUUGAACCUUGCAAG
rnacentral:snRNA from 1 species